rnacentral:pre_miRNA from 1 species
CGCGAGCCACAUGUGGCUCGCGAGCCACAUGUGGCUCGCGAGCCACAUGUGGCUCGCGAGCCACAUGUGGCUCGCGAGCCACAUGUGGCUCG